GUGCUCGCUUUGGCUGUACAUACACUAGCACUGGAACGAUGCAGAGAAGACUAGCAUGGUCCCUGCUCAAAGAUGACGUGCAAAUUUAUGAAGUGUUCCAUAAAAAA
rnacentral:snRNA from 1 species